GCAAUGAAUGAGUCUCUGUUGUUCCAUAUCCUUGCCGGUAUUUGGUGCUGUCAGUAUUCUGGAUUUUGGUCAUUCUAAUAGCCUCUGCUUUACCCAGCAAGAAAAGAAAUUCACAGAACAAUCAGUCCAAAGACUCAGUCUAAGGAAGAGUUUUAGUCUCUUCUUUGGUGAUGAGCAAGGUGUCCCUGGAUCUAAGAAUAGAGCAAGGUGUCUCUGGAUCUAAGAAGUGGGCAAGAAGUCGCUGGAUUUUAGAGGGAACUUGGUGCUAUCAGAGGAGGUCAUCAUAUUGGAAAAUAAGCUUAUGAAAAAGUGGAGAUCAUA